GAGUUUGAUCGUGGCUCAGGAUGAACGCUAGCGGCAGGCUUAACACAUGCAAGUCGAGGGGUAUAGGUUUUCGGACCUAGAGACCGGCGCACGGGUGCGUAACGCGUAUGCAAUCUGCCUUGUACUGGGGGAUAGCCCAGAGAAAUUUGGAUUAAUACCCCAUAGUGUAUUGAAGUGGCAUCACUAUAAUACUAAAGUUCCAACGGUACAAGAUGAGCAUGCGUCCUAUUAGCUAGUUGGUGUGGUAACGGCAUACCAAGGCAACGAUAGGUAGGGGUCCUGAGAGGGAGAUCCCCCACACUGGUACUGAGACACGGACCAGACUCCUACGGGAGGCAGCAGUGAGGAAUAUUGGUCAAUGGGCGCAAGCCUGAACCAGCCAUGCCGCGUGCAGGAAGACGGUCCUAUGGAUUGUAAACUGCUUUUGUACGGGAGAAACACUCCUACGUGUAGGAGCUUGACGGUACCGUAAGAAUAAGGAUCGGCUAACUCCGUGCCAGCCGCCGCGGU
rnacentral:rRNA from 1 species